rnacentral:rRNA from 1 species
UGGGGAAUAUUGGACAAUGGGCGAAAGCCUGAUCCAGCCAUGCCGCGUGUGUGAAGAAGGUCUUUGGAUUGUAAAUCACUUUAAGUUGGGAGGAAGGGCAGUAAGCGAAUACCUUGCUGUUUUGACGUUACCGACAGAAUAAGCACCGGCUAACUCUGUGCCAGCAGCCGCGGUAAUACUGGGGGUGCAAGCGUUAAUCGGAAUUACUGGGCGUAAAGCGCGCGUAGGUGGUUCGUUAAGUUGAAUGUGAAAGCCCCGGGCUCAACCUGGGAACUACAUCCAAAACUGGCGGGCUAGAGUAGGGCAGAGGGUGGUGGAAUGUCCUGUGUAGCGGUGAAAUGCGUAGAUAUAGGAAGGAACACCAGUGGCGAAGGCGACCACCUGGGCUCAUACUGACACUGAGGUGCGAAAGCGUGGGGAGCAAACAGG